GACGAACGCUGGCGGCGUGCCUAACACAUGCAAGUCGAACGGGGAGUUAUUUAUAACUCCUAGUGGCGAACGGGUGAGCAACGCGUAGACAACCUGCCUCUAAAUUGGGGACAACACCGCGAAAGUGGUGCUAAUACCGAAUGUGGUAACUUGGUCGCAUGACUAGGUUAAGAAAGAUGGCCUCUAUAUAUAAGCUAUCGAUUAGAGAUGGGUCUGCGUCUGAUUAGCUAGUUGGUGAGGUAAUGGCUCACCAAGGCGACGAUCAGUAGCCGGUCUGAGAGGAUGAACGGCCACACCGGGACUGAGACACGGCCCAGACUCCUACGGGAGGCAGCAGUGGGGAAUCUUCCGCAAUGGACGAAAGUCUGACGGAGCAACGCCGCGUGAGUGAAGAAGGUCUUCGGAUUGUAAAGCUCUGUCGUUUGGGACGAACGUGGAUUGUGUGAAUAAUGCAGUCUAAUGACGGUACCAAAGGAGGAAGCCACGGCUAGCUACGUGCCAGCCGCCGCAGUAA
rnacentral:rRNA from 1 species